CUAACGGUUUCUCUAAUUGCAAUAGGCUUUGAAAGCGAACUGCAUGGAUCCUGACCAGACUGCGCGGAUUCGCAGGCUGGUCUGGAUCCGUGCUGGUCGCAAACGCACUAUGUUGGUUUUCUCAUGGCGCGGCUCAAAUCAAGAAAUAAACUUCCCUUAUAAGGGAAUCGAACCAGGAUUAUUUCAGAAAUAAAAACGUUCCAACCAUCUUGACCAUAUACACCAAGUAGGAAUUAUAACAAUAAUUUCCUGAUAUCUUAAAAUUUUCUAAUUGUCUCCCUUUAACUAAUUUAACUGAUCUUACAAGUGUUUAUGUACCAAAUACAGUUUGGAGUUAGGAUACCAUUUCACACAUUCAUUCCUGAUUCAGCCCAUUGAAUAUAUAUAAUAUCUAUAUUAUGCAUGUCUUUAUAAUGGAAUGAAAGAAAGUUAGAGGAAUGUCAAUACAUCCUUAAACAUUUAAUCGAUCUAUUUUGUGUACUUUAAUAUGUGUAUAACAUUAUUUCUCACUAUUAAAUAGUAAAAAAAAUGAUGUUACUUGGAUGUUUUAGAAAGUGUUGUUGUUUUUAUCGUUUUUUAUUUACAAAACAUGAAUAAAUGCAUACUUAUUAUACUUGUAUGUAAAUUUUAAAACAGUAGUGGAGUCAAGAGAUACUUGAAACAGACGAAACAAAAUGGCUAACAGAAGUGGCAAAUUUUGAUAAUAUAACAAAGAUAUACUAGUAAUUGCAUUCCACAAGCGGCCAUCUUUACUUGCUCAAGACGAUCAUUGUGUAUUUAUACGUUAUUAUAUGGAGGGACAGUUCGCAGUUCUAUGGGCAAUGGUUCGAGCAUGCUGAAGUCAAAGAGGACCAAGCCUAGAGUAGUGCUUGAGUCCCCGCAAGGUUCGAGCACAGACACUUCGCAGCCUAGAGUGACGUUCGCCAAUAAACGGACCGGUAUGAAUUUAAUCAAGGCCCGUCCUCAAAUGACUGAUAUUGGAACAAUGCAUUCUGACUUGUUAAAGGGAGGACGGGUUCGAUUUCAGCGUAGCCAGUCAAAUAGACUAGGUUCGAAUAUCACCAUGAACGAUUCGUUUACUUCCAUUAGAUCAACGGCAUCUGGUCCGGUGGAUGGGGUAUGGGAGCCCAUGUUAGAUCCAUACGAACGGACAAACGAUACAAACAUGGCACGUGCAAAUAGGAUUACACAAAAUGGUGACGUUAAUUUAAACGAAAAUAGUUACUCUAGGUACAUUGGAUUUAAUGAAAGAGAUUAUAGUUAUGGAACUAGGGUUGAAAAUGGUUUGGCAAAAGUUGAAGAAAUAUGAGUCGUGUUUUACACUUACAUCUUCCUGAAAUUAUCUUGUUUUCAUGCAUCAUAUCAUUAUCUCGUUAUAAACAGAUGUAGAAUAUAUUUAGUAAAUGCAUAAAAAAAAAAAAACUGUGA